rnacentral:tRNA from 1 species
GCCACGGUCGGCUAAUCUGGUAUGUCGGUGGCUUGAUAUCCCACUGCCAGCAAUGGCUUCUGGGUUCAAAUCCCAGCCGUGGCG